GACGAACGCUGGCGGCGUGCUUAACACAUGCAAGUCGAACGGAAAGGCCUGCUUUCCCUUGUGGAUUGCGGGUACUCGAGUGGCGAACGGGUGAGUAACACGUGAGUGAUCUGCCCCCAACUUGGGUAUAAGCCUGGGAAACUGGUUCUAAUUCCCGAUAGAACUGCAGGGUGGUGCCUGUGGUGGAAAACGAUUUUCUAGUGGUUGGGGAUGAGCUCGCGGCCUAUCAGCUUGUUGGUGGGGUAAUGGCCUACCAAGGCGGCGACGGGUAGCCGGCCUGAGAGGGUGGACGGCCACAUUGGGACUGAGAUACGGCCCAGACUCCUACGGGAGGCAGCAGUGGGGAAUAUUGCACAAUGGGCGGAAGCCUGAUGCAGCGACGCCGCGUGGGGGAUGACGGCCUUCGGGUUGUAAACUCCUUUCGACCGCGAGGAAGCCACCUGGUUGGAAGGGUGGUGACGGUAGUGGUAGAAGAGGCACCGGCUAACUACG
rnacentral:rRNA from 1 species